rnacentral:rRNA from 1 species
AUACGGGGGGUGCUAGCGUUAUUCGGAAUCAUUGGGCGUAAAGGGCGCGUAGGCGGUCUCUUAAGUCAGAUGUGAAAGCCCUCGGCUUAACCGAGGAAGUGCAUUUGAUACUAAGUGACUUGAGUAUGGGAGAGGGAAGCGGAAUUCCUGGUGUAGCGGUGAAAUGCGUAGAUAUCAGGAGGAACGCCGGUGGCGAAGGCGGCUUCCUGGACCAAUACUGACGCUGAGGCGCGAAGGCGUGGGGAGC